rnacentral:rRNA from 1 species
UACGUAGGUGGCGAGCGUUAUCCGGAUUUAUUGGGCGUAAAGCGUGCGCAGGCGGUUUAUUAAGUCUAAGAUUAAAGCCCGGAGCUUAACUCCGGUUCGUCUUAGAAACUGGUAGACUUGAGUAUGGUAGAGGCAAAUGGAAUUCCUAGUGUAGCGGUGGAAUGCGUAGAUAUAUGGAAGAACACCAGUGGCGAAGGCGGCUCUCUGGUCUGCAACUGACGCUGAGGCUCGAAAGCAUGGGUAGCGAACAGG